CCCUUAGAUGUUCUGGGCAGCACGCGCGCUACAAUGGUCUUCGCAAACGGAUGCAUUCUCGAAGGAGAAUGCCAAUCUUGGAAUCUAUGCCUUGGUCGGGACAGUUGCUUGCAAUUUUUCGACUCGAACCAGGAAUUCCUUGUAAUCGUGAUUCAUCACAUCACGAUGAAUACGUCCUGCCCUUUGUACACACCGCCCGUCGCUCCUACCGAUCGAAGAGUUAGGUGAAUUGUUUUGAUCGAUAAGAUUUGACUAUGGUCAACUCUCGUUGUGAAAUUCUGUGAAUCUGACUGUUUAGAGGAAGGAAAAGUCGUAACA
rnacentral:rRNA from 1 species